CAAUCACUGACGGAACCUGCUGUGGAAAUUUACAGGGGCUGUUGGAGUGGUGAUCGGUCAAGAAACUCUUCAGGUCCAUGUCGAAUAAGUAUUGGAAAGAACGGCUGCACCCAAAGAAGCAGGUCCAGAACGACCCACAGCAGUAUCUGGUCUGACUUCCACCAGUUCCAAGAAUGUCUUCACUUGUACCCGCAGAGUCAGAGCCAAUCCCCCAGUAAACAUCACAUGGACCCUCAAUGGGAGGAAAAUCACAGGAAACGACUCAGACACUGUAGUAUAUUGCAGGAGAGUGAAUAAUAGAUUGCUUCAGAGCUCUCUGACACUUAUUCACCUCACUGGAACUGAAAAGCUAA